ensembl:lncRNA
GUCUCCUACUUCACCAUUCUGUAUAAAUGCUCUUUUGUGCUACCACCAAUUGAUUACUACACCAAUAAACUCCUGUGUAACGCAGGGCAAGGACAGUCUAAAGCACAACAUGGUUCACACGUGUUAAAAAGCUAGACCUCCUCGCUGUCGCAGAGAAGCAGGCAGAUGACACACUACAUCAAUGUUGAGGCCAAGAUGUCCACCGUCUCCCCAGACUGACAGCAGCCUUAACAGAAACUCCUGCAGGGCAGUGGGUGGAAGCAUGGAGAAGUCAGACAAUAAAAAAGACUUUUGGGCAAGGUCAGUGAAUUUGAAGAACGAACCAGGGCAAUGCCAGGAGUUUGCAGUGCUCAUCUGCUGGGGACUGGUGGAAGAGAUUUUGAAUGUAGGUGAUGUCACCUCACAUAUGGUGUGCUGCUAAACAGGCAGUGUCUGCAGAGCAUUUGUUGUUGCUGCGUAUCAUCACUACAGAAGAACUCACGUGAGUGGGAAGAAAUGCAAUUGUGUGUUCAGCAGUGGUGGUGUUGGGGCAUCUUGGGUUAAAAGCCCAAGGUUAAGCAUGGUGACUGCCAAAAACAUGCACUUUUUGUUAGGAAUGCUUGAAAUAAUUAAAAGUCCGAUUUUUCAGUGGUGCACUGUGGAUACUGUGCAUAGACUCAGUGAAAUUUGUCAAAUUUCAGGUAACGUUUAUAAAGCUUCAAAGGGCCAGGACAUUCUUUGAAACUACUCAUGUGAGGAGUCCUUCCACAUAGCCACGAAAAAUGAGAAUUCCCACAAUCUCUUCCUUGCAGGAACCUGCUCUAGUCUGAAUACUGACCUGCUCUUGAAACAUAUGAAAGAUAUUUUUUUUAUUUUUUUUUUAGUAAAUGCAGACAUAAUAUUUGUGUUAUUUUACCAUCUUCUGCAUCUCUAAAAGCUUUUUUAAAAAUAUUUUUUAAAUAAUUUUUUAAAAUUAUUAUUUUUUAAUUAUUUUAUUAUGAUAAAAGACUUUAUCAUAAUACUGUUUCUGGAUUUGGCCCCUACGUGAAAUCAAAAGCAGAGAAAUUCCUUUAGAGUGUGGAUGAAAUCUCAGACCAUGGGUGUGGAAGUAUAACCUUAGCUAUGACUGUGAUGUUAAAUAUCCACUGAUAAAGUAUUUGUGUAGCUGUGGAUCAUCAAGCAAGAUGUGCAAGUGGCAGACUGAACUGUUCCCAACAAACUGUGGCUGUCUGCCCAGCCAAUAUAUAUUGUCAUGACAAUUAUUUGCAAAAUAACUGCAGCUAGUUUCUGUAUAACUCCUGUGAGUUUCCUUGUUAUCAGCCACAUAUGCUUGAUGCCUAACAUUUGAAUCUUUAAAAGGUUUGAAGCUUUUAUUUUCUAUAGCUAUCACAGGUUGACAAGAGUCACUGUGGCAGCAACAGGAAAGUGUUUGGGAUCAGUCUAAGGAGAGGGAGAAAAGCUGGAGGAAGGGCAUGGUGAAACUGGGGCAUUUGUGGCACUUUCUAGGAGUAGGGGCUCAUGUCACUUUUCUGGUUGCUUUGUGAGGGCUGUUAAAUUGUAAUGCCAAAGCCUUUUCCAUCAGUGGCCUAAAAGUAAUGCGUAUUUGAGUAUUACAGAUUAUUUAGACAGUAGCUUCAUAGUUUGUGGCUGCUCAGGCAUCAGCCGCAAGGAAAAUCCGCGGUUAUGCUCACCCAGCUGGAUAGAUAGCUUGUGACUAAAGUGUCUGAUCAACAAGGCUUAUGUUUGAGAUCUAGCAUUUGGGCUGCUUUCAAAGUAGCUGCAAGAAUUAAGCAGGAAAUAUUUCUAAUGAGAAACUGCAAUUGGUUUCUUGCUCCCUUUCAAACUGAAAAAGACACAAAAUCAAUCAAAACUCAGGGUAAAUUAUUCACCUGACUUUAGCAAAGAAACAAACUGGCAAUAAAAGGCCCUUCAUUGUGAGAGGCAGCAGAGCCCAUACAGCAAAUGGGGCUUUAGAAAGUGCUGCUGAGCAGCCUCCUCCAGUUUGUGUCUCUGCCCUAGCCAUUCUCCUGCUAGGCAUUUGCAAUUUUCCAGGUUGUGCACAAAUAAAACACUGCAUUCAAUGUGGGGAAAAGACAUAGGCAAGCAACACCAACAUGUCACACCCAGUUUUAAAGUCCAAGGUACCAUUUUGCAUUAAGAGAAUAACAAAUCUUUCAGGUGAACAAAUAUUCAAGUCCUGGAGCAGUACACUGAGGCAGAGGUUUAAUGAACUCUUUAGGGGUGGUUUUUCAGCUUGUGUAAAUUGGCUCAGAAAAAAAAAAAAAAAAAAAAAAAAAAGAAUCUCCACAUGAAUAAACAAACAAAAAAAAAAAAAAAAAAAAAAAAAAAAAAAGCCAGCAAAAAAGUUGCCCUGUCUUUAUAUAACUACACAGUAAUGAUCUCUCCCUGUUCUGCUGGGGAGCUUUUAUCCUCAAACGCUGUGUUCCAUGUGGAUUAUCUUGAUGUUUUUUUUUUCCCCAUUUAACACAGGAGAUAAAGACUCUGGCCUCUGUAUUUAACUGUAGCAUUUUCUAUCAGAAAAUAAGGCAAUACUUUCUAAGGGUAGCUCAUGCAUUGAACUCAGCUGUCAAAGCUACUCAUGCUGCCUUGGGUAAUUGGCUACUCACAAAUCUUUAUCUAAAGUAUAAAGUAAAUAACUACCAAAAAGCCUAACCUAAACUGAAGCUGUAAAUUAUCCCACAAAUUCCUUUUACUGCUGUUUUGCUUGGAU